UACGUAGGGCGCAAGCGUUGUCCGGAAUUAUUGGGCGUAAAGAGCUCGUAGGCGGCUUGUCACGUCGAUUGUGAAAGCCCGAGGCUUAACCUCGGGUCUGCAGUCGAUACGGGCAGACUAGAGUGCGGUAGGGGAGACUGGAAUUCCUGGUGUAGCGGUGAAAUGCGCAGAUAUCAGGAGGAACACCGGUGGCGAAGGCGGGUCUCUGGGCCGUAACUGACGCUGAGGAGCGAAAGCGUGGGGAGCGAACAGG
rnacentral:rRNA from 1 species